AACGAACGCUGGCGGCGUGGAUAAGGCAUGCAAGUCGGACGAAUUUUCUAGCUGUUUCGGAAAAUUAGUGGCAAACGGGUGCGUAACACGUGGGUAAUCUACCUCAGAGAUUGGGAUAACCUGUCGAAAGACGGGCUAAUACCAAAUGUGACCACGCCCUCUUCGGAGGGUGAGGUAAAAGGUGGGGACGAGCUUCGGCUUGCCUAUCACUUUGAGAUGAGCCCGCGUCCUAUCAGGUAGUUGGGAGGUAACGGCUUCACCAAGCCUAUGACGGGUAGCUGGCCUGAGAGGAUGGUCAGCCACACUGGAACUGAGAUACGGUCCAGACUCCUACGGGAGGC
rnacentral:rRNA from 1 species